rnacentral:rRNA from 1 species
GUCUAUGGCCAUGCCACCCUGAACAAGCCCGAUCCCGUCUGAUCUCGGAAGCUAAGCAGGGUUGGGCCUGGUUAGUGCUUGGAUGGGAGACCACCUAGGAAGACCAGGUGCUGUAGGCA